rnacentral:tRNA from 1 species
AGGCGAGUAGCUCAAUUGGCUAGAGCAUCGGUCUCCAAAACCGGGGGUUGCAGGUUCAAUUCCUGCCUCGCCUG